CGCUCCUCGAAGAACAAAAUUGCUACCUGAACCUACUUUAGAUGGUGGAAUGUACAGAAGUUGAAUUAAUGGAAAAGUGCAACAGAUAUAGAAAUUUAGUGUGAAUGAAUAUCUUAUGAGUCGAGUAGGUAAACCAUAUUUGAAGGUCUAAUGAAAUUUUAAAAACACCUCCGGUAGGAAAGAUAAGGAGGAAAAAAUCUAAACAAAAUGCUGGACAGAUAGGAUCAAUGAUUUAAAUAAGUGGGCUAGGAAGUUACAAUAGCGGACAGCAUGGAUAGUCAAAUGGAAGAAUGUAGUAGAGGAAACAAGUCCUUCAAAGGAUUACAAUUUUUAGAAGAAAAAAUGCCU